rnacentral:misc_RNA from 1 species
CCACUUGAAAGAGAUUGAAAGACUGAAGCAAGAUCUAAGUGCGAAAGACUUUCAAAUCUCUGCACAGGAUAAGAUCAUAAGUAAGCUGAAGAAAGAGUUAGAAGAAAUGAAAAGGAAGAGAAAGAGAUAGUAAACUUUGUUGUGAUUUUUUCUUUAUCUUUGAAACAUUAGCACAGAGUUGGAUACAUGGACCAACACCUUCCCUGCUGACCAAGGUAUUACUGAUUCACAUAAAUAUUUAUGAAGAACCUAAAACUCUGGAGUGCAUUGUUUAGACAUCCGGCCAUGAUUACCUAGAUAACGGAAUUCUCUAAUUUUGUUAUGCAAUGUUUGUGUAAUAAUUUUGGAUGAGAUUUAUGCAGCAAGUUGAGGUUAAUUAA